rnacentral:rRNA from 1 species
ACGCUGGCGGCAUGCCUUACACAUGCAAGUCGAACGCGAAAGUGGGGGCAACCCUGCGAGUAGAGUGGCGAACGGGUGAGUAAUACAUCGGAACGUACCCAGGAGUGGGGGACAACCUCGAGAAAUCGAGGCUAAUACCGCAUACGUCCUGAGGGAGAAAGCGGGGGAUUCGCAAGGACCUCGCGCUCAUGGAGCGGCCGAUGUCGGAUUAGCUAGUUGGCGGGGUAAGAGCCCACCAAGGCUACGAUCCGUAGCUGGUUUGAGAGAACGACCAGCCACACUGGGACUGAGACACGGCCCAGACUCCUACGGGAGGCAGCAGUGGGGAAUUUUGGACAAUGGGCGCAAGCCUGAUCCAGCCAUGCCGCGUGAGUGAAGAAGGCCUUCGGGUUGUAAAGCUCUUUCGGCCGGAACGAAAUCGCGCACGUGAAUAACGUGUGUGGAUGACGGUACUGGAAGAAGAAGCACCGGCUAACUACGUGCCAGCAGCCGCGGUAAUACGUAGGGUGCGAGCGUUAAUCGGAAUUACUGGGCGUAAAGCGUGCGCAGGCGGUUCUGCAAGUCAGAUGUGAAAUCCCCGGGCUUAACCUGGGAACUGCGUUUGAAACUACGGAGCUAGAGUGCGGCAGAGGGGGGUGGAAUUCCACGUGUAGCAGUGAAAUGCGUAGAUAUGUGGAGGAACACCGAUGGCGAAGGCAGCCCCCUGGGCCGACACUGACGCUCACGCACGAAAACGUGGGGA